rnacentral:rRNA from 1 species
UAGGGAAUAUUGGACAAUGGGCGCAAGCCUGAUCCAGCCAUGCCGCGUGUGUGAAGAAGGCCUUCGGGUUGUAAAGCACUUUUGUCCGGAAAGAAAAGCGCUGGGUUAACACCCUGGUGUCCUGACGGUACCGGAAGAAUAAGCACCGGCUAACUUCGUGCCAGCAGCCGCGGUAAUACGAAGGGUGCAAGCGUUACUCGGAAUUACUGGGCGUAAAGCGUGCGUAGGUGGUUUGUUAAGUCUGAUGUGAAAGCCCUGGGCUCAACCUGGGAAUGGCAUUGGAUACUGGCGAGCUAGAGUGCGGUAGAGGGUAGUGGAAUUCCCGGUGUAGCAGUGAAAUGCGUAGAGAUCGGGAGGAACAUCUGUGGCGAAGGCGACUACCUGGACCAGCACUGACACUGAGGCACGAAAGCGUGGGGAGCAAACAGGAUUAGAUACCCUGGUAGUCCACGCCCUAAACGAUGCGAACUGGAUGUUGGGCUC